CAAAUUAUAGCUUAUUAAAAAGCUUUUUAUUUACAUUAAAAAGAAGAUUGUGUGAUUCA
rnacentral:tRNA from 1 species